AUGAGGCUCCUCUGCAAGGCCUCGGGCUUCACCUUCAGCAGCUACGCAAUGGAAUGGGUGCGACAAGCACCAGGGCAGGGGCUCGAAUGGGUCGCAACCAUUGACAGUGAUGGUUACACCAAGUACGCGCCAUCGGUGCAGGGUCGCUUCACCAUCUCCAGGGACACCUCCCAGAGCACGGUCACGCUGCAGAUGAGCAGCCUCACGACCGAGGACACGGCCACCUACUACUGCACGAAGAGAGCUCGUGGUGGUUAUAGUGCUGCUUAUAGUGGCACCAACGUCACAAGAGGUUGCCCAAAACCUUGA